AAGUAAUCCUAAAAGGUAGGAUUACUUUGAACCAAACCCCUAAAAGUAGGGACCAAAUGAUGUAUUAAACCUAAAAACUAUAAGUUACAUAGGCUGAGAGAAUAAUCUUGCCAACAAUCGACAGCGUCAUGGCAAAGGCCAAGCUGAUGACAACCCAGUUGAGGUCAAGCUGAUGAUGCUCUGGCUUAGGUCAAGCUGAUGAUGCCCUAGCCUAGGUCAAGCUAAUGAAAAAAUAUGAGGAUAGAAGACGUGUAAAUUUGAGAA
rnacentral:sRNA from 1 species